rnacentral:rRNA from 1 species
UACAGAGGUCCCAAGCGUUGUUCGGAUUCACUGGGCGUAAAGGGUGCGUAGGCGGUCGGGUAAGUCUGAUGUGAAAUCUCCAAGCUUAACUUGGAAAUGGCAUCGGAUACUAUCCGGCUGGAGGAAUGGAGGGGAGACUGGAAUUCUCGGUGUAGCAGUGAAAUGCGUAGAUAUCGAGAGGAACACCAGUGGCGAAGGCGAGUCUCUGGACAUUUCCUGACGCUGAGGCACGAAAGCCAGGGGAGCAAACGGG